rnacentral:misc_RNA from 1 species
GAUGAAGAAUGUAGCGAAAUGCGAUAAGUAAUGUGAAUUGCAGAAUUCAGUGAAUCAUCGAAUCUUUGAACGCACAUUGCGCCCGCCAGUAUUCUGGCGGGCAUGCCUGUUCGAGCGUCAUUACAACCCUCAGGCCCCCGGGCCUGGCGUUGGGGAUCGGCGGAGCCCCCCGUGGGCACACGCCGUCCCCCAAAUGCAGUGGCGGUCCCGCCGCAGCUUCCAUCGCGUAGUAGCUAACACCUCGCGACUGGAGAGCGGCGCGGCCACGCCGUAAAACACCCAACUCUUCUGAAGUUGACCUCGAAUCAGGUAGGAAUACCCGCUGAACUUAAGCAUAUCAAUAAGCGGAGGA